rnacentral:rRNA from 1 species
UACGUGGGGGGCAAGCGUUGUUCGGAAUUACUGGGCGUAAAGGGCUCGUAGGUGGCCCACUAAGUCAUGCGUGAAAUCCCUCGGCUUAACCGGGGAACUGCGUCUGAUACUGGAUGGCUUGAGUUUGGGAGAGGGAUGCGGAAUUCCAGGUGUAGCGGUGAAAUGCGUAGAUAUCUGGAGGAACACCGGUGGCGAAGGCGGCAUCCUGGACCAACACUGACACUGAGGAGCGAAAGCCAGGGGAGCAAACGGG